AGAGUUUGAUCAUGGCUCAGAUUGAACGCUGGCGGAAUGCUUUACACAUGCAAGUCGAACGGCAGCACGGACUUCGGUCUGGUGGCGAGUGGCGAACGGGUGAGUAAUAUAUCGGAACGUAUCCAAUAAUGGGGGAUAACUAAUCGAAAGGUUGGCUAAUACCGCAUACGCCCUACGGGGGAAAGCUAGGGACCUUCGGGCCUGGCGUUAAUGGAGCGGCCGAUAUCUGAUUAGCUAGUUGGUGAGGUAAAGGCUCACCAAGGCGACGAUCAGUAGCUGGUCUGAGAGGACGACCAGCCACACUGGAACUGAGACACGGUCCAGACUCCUACGGGAGGCAGCAGUGGGGAAUUUUGGACAAUGGGCGAAAGCCUGAUCCAGCCAUUCCGCGUGAGUGAAGAGGGCCUUCGGGUUGUAAAGCUCUUUCGCAAGGGAAGGAAGAUUACUCUCUAACAUAGAGUAAUUAUGACGGUACCUUAAUAAGAAGCACCGGCUAACUACGUGCCAGCAGCCGCGGUAAUACGUAGGGUGCGAGCGUUAAUCGGAAUUACUGGGCGUAAAGCGUGCGCAGGCGGUUUUGUAAGUCAGAUGUGAAAUCCCCGAGCUCAACUUGGGAACUGCGUUUGAAACUACAAGACUAGAAUAUGUCAGAGGGGGGUAGAAUUCCACGUGUAGCAGUGAAAUGCGUAGAGAUGUGGAGGAAUACCAAUGGCGAAGGCAGCCCCCUGGGAUAAUAUUGACGCUCAUGCACGAAAGCGUGGGGAGCAAACAGGAUUAGAUACCCUGGUAGUCC
rnacentral:rRNA from 1 species